GUCCACGCCCUAAACUAUGUCAACUGGUUGUCGGGAAGCAAUUCCUUGGUAACGAAGCUAACGCGUGAAGUUGACCGCCUGGGGAGUACGGCCGCAAGGUUAAACUCAAAGGAAUUGACGGGGACCCGCACAAGCGGUGGAUUAUGUGGAUUAAUUCGAUGCAACGCGAAAAACCUUACCUACCCUUGACAUGCCAGGAACCUCGCAGAGAUGUGAGGGUGCCCGAAAGGGAACCUGGACACAGGUGCUGCAUGGCUGUCGU
rnacentral:rRNA from 1 species